rnacentral:rRNA from 1 species
GACAGAGGUGGCAAGCGUUGUUCGGAAUUACUGGGCUUAAAGGGCGCGUAGGCGGUGGAGUAAGUCUGAGGUGGAAGAUUAGGGCUUAACCCUAAAUUGCCUUGGAAACUGCAUCACUUGAGUCAGCGAGGGGAUGGCGGAAUUCCAGGUGUAGCGGUGAAAUGCGUAGAUAUCUGGAGGAAGGCCGGUGGCGAAGGCGGCCAUCUGGCGCUGAACUGACGCUGAGGCGCGAAAGCGUGGGGAGC